CCGGAUUUAUUGGGCGUAAAGGGCUCGUAGUGGUUGAUCGCGUCGGAAGUGUAAUCUUGGGGCUUAACCCUGAGCGUGCUUUCGAUACGGGUUGACUUGAGGAAGGUAGGGGAGAAUGGAAUUCCUGGUGGAGCGGUGGAAUGCGCAGAUAUCAGGAGGAACACCAGUGGCGAAGGCGGUUCUCUGGGCCUUUCCUGACGCUGAGGAGCGAAAGCGUGGGGAGCGAACAGGCUUAGAUACCCUGGUAGUCCACGCUGUAAACGGUGGGUACUAGGUGUGGGGUCCAUUCCACGGGUUCCGUGCCGUAGCUAACGCUUUAAGUACCCCGCCUGGGGAGUACGGCCGCAAGGCUAAAACUCAAAGGAAUUGAAGGAAAAACUCAGAGGA
rnacentral:rRNA from 1 species